rnacentral:lncRNA from 1 species
AUGCAAGAAAAAUCCAAGGCCAUCAUUUACAUAAAUGAUACCUGUACCAGAAUAAGCUCAGAAAGAGAAGACACAGAGGUACAAAGAAAACAUGUGCAGGAAACAGAGGAGCAAAUAGCCAAACAAAUUGCAGAAUAUUUGCUAAGAAAACAGCAACUAACUACACAGACCGAUGAAUUUAAAAAAAUCUGUGAACUUGCAAGAACGGAGACUUAUAAAAAGAAGGAAGAAUUAGGAAAAUUGAAGAAUAGAAUGACAAACAUGAAACAAACAGUGACUAUCAGCACAGUGGUAAGAAAGAAUAAACUACAUUUUUUGAAGCCUGACUUGGGCACCUCAGUGCGGUGAUCGAUUGUUUGCAAAAGGGAAAGGGGCCAAGAAAUGGAGAGAGAAGAGACGGUGAGAAAAGGAUUAAAAUGUGUCGUGCGCAUGAACCACCUCCCCGUAAGGAAUGUGAUCGCCACGUACAGCAAACACGCACUAGGAAAAAAACAAAGCUGAAAAACAUUUCAAAGGAACCGAUUUUAAUUCAUUCUCAUGCCAUUCUGGAAGAAUACUUCUGUCAGGUUAAUGCUUUCUGACACUCUUUUUUGAAGCGUUGUGGUGCAACUGUGUUUUCAUCUUCAGGAAUAUGGUGUGAAGAAAGAUGCUUUACGUACAAAUUGCAGUGAAAAUUUUCAUCAAAAAACACAUUUCGAACUAACCAAAUAUAUGUGUGUAUACAUAUAUAAAAAAAUAUUUCUGUAAGAUUAUUUUAUUUGACAGAAAAAAAUUAAGAGCCACGGCAAGGCCUUAACUCUGAAUGCAGCAUAAUAAAACUGAGUUCAGGCUGUCCAUUAAUAUUGGGCACAGUAACAUUAAUUUGGAAAGAAGACUAUUUGUCUAUUUGAAUUUAAAAUACUUCAGUUUGUGCUUCUAUAAAAUAAUUUAUUGAAAGCUAGCACUGUGAUGUGUAUUUUGUAAGAAUUAUCUUUACUUUAAAAAUCAGAAAAUUGAAGUUUAUGAAAGUGGUUAAUGAUAAUAUGACUUUGGUUCC